GCUUCUGGAACAGCCGGAAACCUUGUCAACUGUCCAGGUAGUUUGUCCACCUGAAGUCUCACCUAUGACUUCUCUGGAUCCUUUGGCAUCCUAGCACUGAAAUCUGCAAAGCUGCUUAUGUACUUUCUGUAAGGUGAAAAUUACGGAUGCAGCACCUGUGAUUAAGUCAUGAUGGCUGGAAGUAAAUCUUGGUGAAUAUUUCUAAAUGUUUUCCACAUUUCCCAUACAGAGGUUUGAUAAUUUGUUCACCUAGUUUCCAUUUUAUAAUUGAGGUUGGCAGUGGAGACCAAGACUCGAUGUGGUGUGGGUCAAUUUGGAAGAAUUACUUCGAAGAAAAUGAGAAAGAAACACUCAAAUGAAAUCCCUUUUGAGGAAGGAGAUACUCUUUUCCUUAAAAAAAAAAAAAUCAACAUUUGUAUCAAUAAAGGUUGAGAUCAGAAAAUGUUUCCCGUUCAAUGAGAAAGAUUUGGACUGUGAUGAAGAUAAACUAAAAAGAAAAGAGUUUGACCAACUGGCAAGGGUUUGACCCCUUUCCCCUUUAAAAAAAUCACACUAAAACUACAGCUUAUGUUUCGCAUGAGUGGAUGCUCUGAAUUGCAAUGCAAAGUGCUUAUGAAAACUUAAGAUCUUACAUUACUACUUCAAAGAGUACAUGUGAUAGGAAUUCCUAUAGAAGAAAAUGAAAAAGGAUAUAGCUUGAAAAUCCAAAUUUAUAGCAAAUUCUGCAUCUAUCAUUUGGCGAUGCUAUGACUGGAUGCUAUCACUAUUUGGAAGUAUCAAAAAUAUUACAAAGGAAAAUUAAGCUUCAUUUUACUCUAUCUUCUUAUAAAGUGAGGCCCACAUCCUGGUGAUGACUAUUUCCUUAAUGAGACUAUGGGAUUUUAUCAAACUCCAUAAAACAUGAUUGCAUUUCCUUCACUCUGAAAUCACCUUAUUUUAAUUUCCACAUGAAAUUGGGAUGCAAUUUGUGUGUACAUUUAAUAUGCGAGGGUUCCUUCUCCACCUCUCACUCACUCCUCCCCAAAAAAGCUUUGGCCAAAUCUACAGCAUGUUUUACAAUGGACAGAGUCUUAGGAUUGAGGCAAGUACAAUCAAGAGGAGUCAGGGGCUAAGAUAAACAAAAGAACAUGAAAACAGUGAUGGUGAUGCCUCAUGUGAUUAGCUCUAUGGUCCCUUCCUCUUCUCAGAGUGACAGGCAGAAAAAUCGACAGUUAAUUCCAGAUCCAUCAGGGGCUGUGCUGCCUUUCUACAGAAAUGAUGAGUUUAGAGAGCAAGCUGCAGAUGAGUGUCUGAGCACUCGCGGGAGGUGCCGAGUGUCAUGGCAGAAGUUCGUGUGGCAUCGCUGUCUGCUGCGUCCAAGAGAUGAUAGGGUCCUUCCAGAAGAGGAACAGCAGGGUAGCGCAGAAAUGGAAGGAAGACCACUCUUCCCAGUUUCUGGCCAAUGGGAUGAGGGAAGAAGUGAUGGGCAUCAGUUACAGAACUCAUUCACACCUUCAAUGGUUUUGGAAGCCACAUGCUCCAGAUGGCAGAGCUACCCUGGAAAGAAGGUUGCAUCUGAGUCACCACGUGGAGAUCAACUUUGUACAUGUGAAACAUAAAUGUUUACUGUGUUGGGCCACU
ensembl:lncRNA novel transcript, antisense to TSHZ2